rnacentral:rRNA from 1 species
UGGGGAAUAUUGGACAAUGGGCGAAAGCCUGAUCCAGCCAUGCCGCGUGUGUGAAGAAGGUCUUCGGAUUGUAAAGCACUUUAAGUUGGGUGGAAGGGCAGUAAGCGAAUACCUUGCUGUUUUGACGUUACCGACAGAAUAAGCACCGGCUAACUCUGUGCCAGCAGCCGCGGUAAUACAGAGGGUGCAAGCGUUAAUCGGAAUUACUGGGCGUAAAGCGCGCGUAGGUGGUUCGUUAAGUUGAAUGUGAAAGCCCCGGGCUCAACCUGGGAACUGCAUCCAAAACUGGCGAGCUAGAGUAGGGCAGAGGGUGGUGGAAUUUCCUGUGUAGCGGUGAAAUGCGUAGAUAUAGGAAGGAACACCAGUGGCGAAGGCGACCACCUGGGCUCAUACUGACACUGAGGUGCGAAAGCGUGGGGAGCAAACAGG